rnacentral:rRNA from 1 species
UACCAGCACCCCGAGUGGUCGGGACGUUUAUUGGGCCUAAAGCAUCCGUAGCCGGUUCUACAAGUCUUCCGUUAAAUCCACCUGCUUAACAGAUGGGCUGCGGAAGAUACUAUAGAGCUAGGAGGCGGGAGAGGCAAGCGGUACUCGAUGGGUAGGGGUAAAAUCCGUUGAUCCAUUGAAGACCACCAGUGGCGAAGGCGGCUUGCCAGAACGCGCUCGACGGUGAGGGAU